CCCAGUUAAUAUGGAACCUCCUGGGACUGCCUAUAAUACAGUAACUGGUACAACAGAGGUGAUCAAGGGAAUUGCUUGAAGUUAGCUCGUACAAAAACUGCAAAGGAGCGAUUUUGUCCAACCUAUGGGAGAUUGCAAAAUCAACUCAAAACUGCU